rnacentral:lncRNA from 1 species
GUCUUCCUUAAGGUCAUAUCUUUGGCUAUCUUCUCUCAGGUUCUCUGCAAGAAAGAAUAGAUAUCUUUUAUAUCUGUGACACAUAGAAUUCUAAACAGAACUAUGUUGCAGUUACUACUUUUAUAAUAAUGUCCAUGUCUGUUUUCACUCCUAGGCAUACCAUUUACUAUAUCACUAUCCUAGUAUCCUGUUGGCUCCUCUCAUCCUAGUCCUUCAUUUUGAAUAUUACACCAUAUAGAGUAACUGGAAUCAUUGAAGUGUCUUGAGAAAUGUGAAUGGAAAUAUAAAUUAGGCAGCUACUGUGAUAUCCAUUAUAUUCUUCAAAAGAAAUAUUGAGAAUAUCUACUCAGUAGUGAUUUAUAAGUGAUCAUGAAUCCUUGGAGAUUUUCCAUAUUUAGUGGCAUACAAAUUAAGAUCUUCUGCAGUUCAAUAUGCUGUCUUAUCAAAAGAAAAGGUGAACUUUACAGCAUCAGAAGAUACUACUUGGAACCAAGUGCCAAAGCUAAACUACAUCAGAGUGCCACCCUCAUUCAUGGUUAUUUGAAUAUUGUGUCCAGAGGAAUCCCUAUUGAAUUUUAACUCCACUGGCCAUCCAGUGCCUGUUACAAUUCUACCUCUGAAAUCUGACCACACAUACUAUCUGUGGAUCUAGGAAUCUUGCCUGAAGAAUUUAAGUUGAGUCUCACCAGGAAACUGAGCAUAGAAUAUUUUCUGGAGUAUAAUCUCCAAUGAUUAAACAGGUGUUUGUUUAUACUGUUAAUAAAAAUUCUGGUUCUUUUAGUUUUUCUUGUGUC